AAGGUAACUUUCAAACAUGAUUCCUCAACUGUGGAAGUGCAAGAUGACCACAUCAAAGGUCCACUCAAGGUAGGAGCUGUUGUUGAAGUGAAGAACCCUGAUGGAACAUGCCAAGUAGGUGUAAUCAAUAAGCUGACUGAUGCAAGUUGGUACACUGUAGGCAGGGGACCCAAAACAAAGGGUCAUGAUCUCUGGAUAUGCAGUAGGCCACUUCGGACUGAAUUCAAGGGAGACUUCUUCAUUAAGGGUGAUGAACCUGUGGA